AACGAACGCUGGCGGCAUGCCUAACACAUGCAAGUCGAACGAGACCUUCGGGUCUAGUGGCGCACGGGUGCGUAACGAGUGGGAACCUGCCCUUAGGUUCGGAAUCACUCCCCGAAAGGGGUGCUCAUAACGGAUAAUGUCAUCGGACCAAAGAUUUGGCGCCUGUGGGUGGGCCCGAGGUUGAUUAGCUAGUUGGUAGGGUAAAGGCCUACCAAGGCGACGACCGGUAGCUGGUCUGUGAGGAUGACUGGCCACACUGGGACUGAGAUACGGCCCAGACUCGUACGGGAGGCAGCAGUGGGGAAUAUUGCACAAUGGGCGGAAGCCUGAUGCAGCAACGCCGCGUGCGGGAUGACGGCCUUCGGGUUGUAAACCGCUUUCGCCUGUGACGAAGCGUGAGUGACGGUAAUGGGUAAAGAAGCACCGGCUAACUACGUG
rnacentral:rRNA from 1 species